rnacentral:tRNA from 1 species
GGGCGUAUAGCUCAGUUGGUGGAGCAUCGAGAUUUUAACCUAAUGGUCGUAGUUUUGAGUCCUGCUAUACCCA